rnacentral:sRNA from 1 species
ACACGUGAAAGGAGGUGGUCCGAAGUUGUAUAGCAACGGGACUCGUGAGGUGGCUGUCCGCUAGCCGCUGUCCUCGACAGCUUCGAGUUUUUCUGUAGUACGUCGAGACCGUGUGGCAGCGGUCAGGCGAGUACCAGGCAGCCACCCGACCCCCGGGGAUCCGGCCUUGUCCGACCGGACCUCGCACCCUCACCGGUGCGAGGAAGUCCCCGGGGGUCGCCUUAU